rnacentral:rRNA from 1 species
GGUCUCGGUAUUCUUUUUGCAGCGCUUAUUGCGCGGCGAAAAAACCUUACACACAGUGUUUUUUGUUAUUACAAGAACUUUUGCUUUGGUCUGGACUAGAAAUAGUUUGGGCCAGAGGUUUACUGAACUAAACUUCAAUAUUUAUAUUGAAUUGUUAUUUAUUUAAUUGUCAAUUUGUUGAUUAAAUUCAAAAAAUCUUCAAAACUUUCAACAACGGAUCUCUUGGUUCUCGCAUCGAUGAAGAACGCAGCGAAAUGCGAUAAGUAAUAUGAAUUGCAGAUUUUCGUGAAUCAUCGAAUCUUUGAACGCACAUUGCGCCCUCUGGUAUUCCAGAGGGCAUGCCUGUUUGAGCGUCAUUUCUCUCUCAAACCUUCGGGUUUGGUAUUGAGUGAUACUCUUAGUCGAACUAGGCGUUUGCUUGAAAUGUAUUGGCAUGAGUGGUACUGGAUAGUGCUAUAUGACUUUCAAUGUAUUAGGUUUAUCCAACUCGUUGAAUAGUUUAAUGGUAUAUUUCUCGGUAUUCUAGGCUCGGCCUUACAAUAUAACAAACAAGUUUGACCUCAAAUCAGGUAGGAUUACCCGCUGAACUUAAGCAUAUCAUAGCCGGGAAAGAAGCUGGGGUCACAGGGACCCUAAAUGACCAAGAACACAGCCUCUCGUGUUCUUUUAGGGAAUCCUAAAGAAAAAGAGGGGAGAGCGGUGAGUUUUUUUGCCACGG